rnacentral:misc_RNA from 1 species
AAAUGCGAUAAGUAAUGUGAAUUGCAGAAUUCAGUGAAUCAUCGAAUCUUUGAACGCACCUUGCGCUCCUUGGUAUUCCUUGGAGCAUGCCUGUUUGAGUAUCAUGAAAUCUUCAAAGUAAAUCUUUUGUUAACUCAAUUGGUUUCUACUUUGGUAUUGGAGGUCUUUGCAGCUUCACACCUGCUCCUCUUUGUUCAUUAGCUGGAUCUCAGUGUUAUGCUUGGUUCCACUCGGCGUGAUAAGUUAUCUAUCGCUGAGGACACUGUAAAAGGUGGCCAAGGUAAAUGCAGAUGAACCGCUUCUAAUAGUCCAUUGACUUGGACAAUAUUUUUAUGAUCUGAUCUCAAAUCAGGUAGGACUACCCGCUGAACUUAAGC